rnacentral:rRNA from 1 species
UACAGAGGGUGCAAGCGUUAAUCGGAAUUACUGGGCGUAAAGCGUGCGUAGGUGGUGAGAAAAGUUAGGUGUGAAAGUCCUGGGCUUAACCUGGGGAUUGCGCCUAAAACUGUUUUGCUAGAGUACUGUAGAGGAAGGUGGAAUUUCCGGUGUAGCGGUGAAAUGCGUAGAUAUCGGAAGGAACAUCGGUGGCGAAGGCGGCCUUCUGGACAGAUACUGACACUGAGGCACGAAAGCGUGGGGAGCAAACAGG